rnacentral:rRNA from 1 species
AUGCCCAGUUCUCGAGCUCACCUUGGAGGUUCAAACGCCGCAACGGGACCUCCACCGGCCAGAUCCGGCGCCUCCCUCCCGGAUCCGCGCGCCCUCCACCUCCUCUACCCGAUCCGGCGCUGCCCACCUCAGCUCCUCCUCUCCUCCGUGCGCCCGAGCUCCUCGCUAUGCGUCGCCCGGGAGGGCUCGCGCUCGCUACUUGACCAGAGCCACCACGUUGCAUUCUCCGUCGACCUCGCCGUCCCCUCUGCACUACCCUCCACCUCAACUGAUAUAAAUAACAUGGCUGAGAAAGUUCCUCCAAUGAAAGGAGGAGGAGUAUAG